rnacentral:lncRNA from 1 species
CAGUUGUUUUUUCAUCCACUUUAAUGUUGUACUUGGUGUCAGUGUUUGUUGGCUCCUUAUGAUAUGAUUAAUAAAAAUCGGGCCCCUCGGUUCCCUUUCUUCUCGUUAGUUUCAUAACGACGGGUCUCG